GGGGCCGAUACUGGAUUCGACGGGAUUCACGAACUCUUAGGUGCAUGCCGAGGUGCGGUAGGCCUCGUAAAAAAGCCGCAAACUAGUAGUCGCAAACGACGAAACUUACGCAAUCGCUGCCUAAUAAGCAGUAGAUGCUCUCCCCCCCGCGCAUGCCUGUAAGCCGGGAUUUUGGGAGAUCACCCCUAACAGGAUCGC
rnacentral:tmRNA from 1 species